rnacentral:rRNA from 1 species
GACGAACGCUGGCGGCGUGCUUAACACAUGCAAGUCGAACGGAAAGGCCCUGCUUUUGUGGGGUGCUCGAGUGGCGAACGGGUGAGUAACACGUUAGUAACCUGCCCUUGACUUUGGGAUAACUUCAGGAAACUGGGGCUAAUACCGGAUAGGAGCUCCUGCUGCAUGGUGUGGGUUGGAAAGUUUCGGCGGUUGGGGAUGGACUCGCGGCUUAUCAGCUUGUUGGUGGGGUAGUGGCUUACCAAGGCUUUGACGGGUAGCCGGCCUGAGAGGGUGACCGGCCACAUUGGGACUGAGAUACGGCACAGACUCCUACGGGAGGCAGCAGUGGGGAAUAUUGCACAAUGGGCGGAAGCCUGAUGCAGCAACGCCGCGUGCGGGAUGACGGCCUUCGGGUUGUAAACCGCUUUCGCCUGUGACGAAGCGUGAGUGACGGUAAUGGGUAAAGAAGCACCGGCUAACUACGUG